rnacentral:snRNA from 1 species
GUGCUCACUUCGGCAGCACAUCUACUAAACCUGCACAGAUACAGAGAAGAUUGACAUGGCUCCCCGGCCACGAACGAUAAAAAAUGCGUGUCUGAUGAUGAAGACAUAGUU